rnacentral:tRNA from 1 species
GCCAAAGUGGCGGAACUGGCAGACGCGCACGACUCAAAAUCGUGUUCCUUCGGGAGUGUGGGUUCGAGUCCCACCUUUGGUA